GAUGAACGCUGGCGGCGUGCCUAAUACAUGCAAGUCGAGCGAACAGACGAGGAGCUUGCUCCUCUGACGUUAGCGGCGGACGGGUGAGUAACACGUGGAUAACCUACCUCUAAGACUUGGAUAACUUCGGGAAACCGGAGCUACUACCGGAUAAUAUAUUGAACCGCAUGGUUCAAUAGUUAAAGACGGUUUUGCUGUCACUUAUAGAUGGAUCCGCGCCGCAUUAGCUAGUUGGUAAGGUAACGGCUUACCAAGGCAACGAUGCGUAGCCGACCUGAGCGGGUGAUCGGCCACACGGGAACUGAGACACGGCACAGACACUGACGGGGGGCAGCAGUAGGGAAUCUUCCGCAAGGGGCGAAAGCCGAACGGAGCAACGCCGCGGGAGUGAUGAAGGUCUUCGGAUGGUAAAACGCUGUUAUUAGGGAAGAACAAAUGUGUAAGUAACUAUGCACGUCUUGACGGUACCGAAUCAGAAAGCCACGGCUAACUGCGUG
rnacentral:rRNA from 1 species